rnacentral:sRNA from 1 species
UCCAGGUGUGGGGAUGCACACUUGUAAUCCCAGCGAUUUGGGAGGCUGAGGCAGGAGGCUCACAAGUUUGAGACCAGCCUCAGCAACUUUGUGAGUGCCUAAGCAACUUAGUGAGACCCUGUCUCAA